rnacentral:misc_RNA from 1 species
GAUGAAGAACGUAGCGAAAUGCGAUAAGUAAUGUGAAUUGCAGAAUUCAGUGAAUCAUCGAAUCUUUGAACGCACAUUGCGCCCGCCAGUAUUCUGGCAGGCAUGCCUGUUCGAGCGUCAUUUCAACCAUCAAGCCCCAGGCUUGUGUUGGGGGCCUGCGGCUGCCGCAGCCCCCUAAAAGCAGUGGCGGGCUCGCUGUCAUUCCGAGCGCAGUAGUUACAUCUCGCUCUGGGUGUGGCGGCGGGCACCUGCCGUGAAACGCUUCUAAGGUUGACCUCGGAUCAGGUAGGAAUACCCGCUGAACUUAGGCAUAUCAAUCGGAGGA